GACGAACGCUGGCGGCGUGCUUAACACAUGCAAGUCGAGCGGUAAGGCCCUUUCGGGGGUACACGAGCGGCGAACGGGUGUGUAACACGUGGGUGACCUGCCCUCAGCUCUGGGAUAAGCCUGGGAAACCCGGGUCUAAUACUGGAUAUGACUCCAUGACGCAUGUUGUGGGGUGGAAAGCCUUGUGCGGCUGAGGAUGGGCCCGCGGCCUAUCAGCUUGUUGGUGGGGUNANGGGCCUACCAAGGCGACGACGGGUAGCCGGCCUGAGAGGGGCGACCGGGCCACACUGGGACUGAGACACGGCCCAGACUCCUACGGGAGGCAGCAGUGGGGAAUCUUGCGCAAUGGGCGAAAGCCUGACGCAGCGACGCCGCGU
rnacentral:rRNA from 1 species